rnacentral:rRNA from 1 species
GGGACAGUAGGUUGGUCGUGCCACCGGUACGUACUGGUCUCACUGAUUCCUCCUUCCUGAAGAACCGUAAUGCCAUUAAUUUGGUGUUGCGGGGAAACAGGACUGUUACUUUGAAAAAAUUAGAGUGUUUAAAGCAAACUAACGCUCGAAUACAUUAGCAUGGAAUAAUGAAAUAGGACGAUCGAUCCUAUUUUGUUGGUUUCUAGGAUUGACGUA